rnacentral:rRNA from 1 species
UCCGUAGGCGGUGUGGCAAGUCGGUAGUGAAAUCUCUCGGCUUAACUGAGAGGCUGCUGCCGAAACUGCCAUGCUCGAGUGCGAGAGAGGCGAGUGGAAUUGCGGGUGUAGCGGUGAAAUGCGUAGAUAUCCGCAGGAACAUCCGAGGCGAAAGCGGCUCGCUGGAUCGCAACUGACGCUGAGGGACGAAAGCUAGGGGAGCAAACAGGAUUAGAUACCCUGGUAGUCCUAGCCCUAAACCAUCAGGACUUGGGGUUUGCCCUGUACGGGGCAAGUCCCGGAGCUAGCGCGUUAAGUCCUGCGCCUGGGGAGUACGGUCGCAAGGCUGAA